rnacentral:pre_miRNA from 1 species
CUAAUCGUCUGCUCAGUAGUUGGUGUAGGAUCUGUCUGACAUGAUUAAGAACAGCUACAUCUGAUUACUGGGUCACCGAUAGCAUCA